GGCCAAGUGACGGAACUGGCAGACGUGCGGGACUCAAAAUCCCGUGCCCGCAAGGGCGUGUGGGUUCGAUUCCCACCUUGGCCA
rnacentral:tRNA from 1 species